rnacentral:rRNA from 1 species
UACUUAGGGUGCAAGCGUUGUCCGGAAUUAUUGGGCGUAAAGAGCGUGUAGGCGGCCCGGUUAGUCCGCUGUGAAAGUCCAGGGCUCAACCCUGGAAUGCCGGUGGAUACUGUCGGGCUAGAGUCCGGAAGGGGCGAGUGGAAUUCCUGGUGUAGCGGUGAAAUGCGCAGAUAUCAGGAGGAACACCAAUGGCGAAGGCAGCUCGCUGGGACGUGACUGACGCUGAGACGCGAAAGCGUGGGGAGCAAACAGG